rnacentral:lncRNA from 1 species
AUGCGAGCAGCGGGGAGGCGCCGGCGCCAUUGCUGUCCCCACCGCUUGCGCCCAGGCCUCGCCCCCUCCUGUCCCGCCCCGUGUCAGGCACCCGUCCCACAACCUCACCAUUGUCGCUGGAGGGUCUCCCUGGGUGCUUCCCACAGCCUGCAGCCAGUAGAAAUCCUAAGGCAGGACGGCCUGCCCCGCUGGGGCGGCUCUCAUCACUGUGCCCAAGAACUGAGCUGAGGAGCCAGGAAAGAGGGCCCACCUCCCGGGCCAUCUGAUUGGACAGUUCAUACGGCCCGACCCUCAUCACUGAUUGGCUCUUGUCCCAUUGUCCGCCUUCUGAGUUGAGAGUGACAACAGAAAGGAACCCUUACAGGUAGGUCUGCUUGGAUCUGAAGAGAGAAAUGAUGACCCAAACACUGCAUGACUGCAUGCUAACCUGUCCUAGCCUGCGUUUAAGAAGUGUACUCCCCUCUUUUAUUUUUUCCUUUGUAAUUAAACCCGCUCUUGAACUAAGUUUACCUCAGGCUGGUCUUGAGCUCCCUGGGAUCCUCGUGCGUGGGAUCUUCCUGUGUGUUGCUCUUCCUAAUGGGACAUUAGUUGACUUAGUCAAUUCCAGUGUUAAUUCACCAUGGAGAAAGCACUGUGAGAGAGCAUCACAAGUCCAGGCAAGGCCACGACACAACGGAAGAGAGGGCGGCCGAGCUGUUUUGAGAGGAUGGAUGUUCAGCACCAGCAGUGGGCCCUCAGAUCCAGCAAUGAGUGCAUCUGACCUGCAGAGGGCGCGCGCGAACUGCAAGUGAGCUCAGGAUCCGCCUCUGGUGUUAGGAUUCACGGAGCACUAGAAAGAAGACAGGUGCAGAGACUGAAGGUGGGAAAAGAGGGCCUUUCUGGGGGCGCUUGAGGGGUACAGAGAAAGGAACGCUGAGUUGGAAAUGGUGGAUGGCUGAGGACAGGAGAGCACCAGAGUGUGGGUGAGAGCUCCUGGGAGGCCACACACCUCAGCAGGUUCCCUCCAGACCGUUCCAGGUUC